GUUGAACGCUGGCGGCAGGCCUAACACAUGCAAGUCGAACGAGUGGCGGACGGGUGAGUAAUGUCUGGGAAACUGCCUGAUGGAGGGGGAUAACUACUGGAAACGGUAGCUAAUACCGCAUACCAUCAGAUGUGCCCAGAUGGGAUUAGCUUGUGGGGGGGGUAACGGCUCACCACGGCGACGAUCCCUAGCUGGGGUGUGAGGAUGCCCGCCCAACCUGGAACGUGGCAACGGGCCAGCACCCUACGGGAGGAAGCAGGGGGGAAAUUUGGCAAAUGGGCGAAAGCUUGAUGCAGGCAGGCCGGGUGGUUGAAAAAGGCCUUCGGGUUGAAAAGUACGUUGAGCGGGGAGGCGUUACCCGCAGAAGAAGCACCGGCUAACUCCGUGCCAGCAGCCGCGGUAAUAC
rnacentral:rRNA from 1 species